GCAUGCACAAUGAUGAUUACACCUUCAAAAUUAUACAGUUAUCCCUGUCUGAAGAAGGAUAACUUCUAUGUUGAAUCAAAAUAUCUGACCGCAAUC
rnacentral:snoRNA from 1 species